UAUUGCAUUUUAACAUAAAAUAAAUGCUUAUGAUUUGAUAAAGUGUUGAUAGAUUUAUUAUAUAUAGUGCUUAAAUUCUUAAGAAUUUUGUUAUAAUAUAAUUAUCUUUUUGAUUUUUAUAUAUAUAACAUGCGCUAAUAUGAUUAACAAUGCGAUAGAUUCAGGAUACCUUCGGGACCCGUCUUGAAACACGGACCAAGGAGUCUAACAUAUGUGCAAGUCAUUGGGAUUAGUUUUUAAUCUAUAGAUUAUUAAUUCAAUCCCAGGGCGUUCUAUAUAGUUAUGUUUGAAUAAUAUUUAUAUUAUUUUAUAAACCUCUAACUGGAGCGUACCUUGAGCAAAUAUGCUGUGACCCGAAAGAUGGUGAACUAUACUUGAUCAGGUUGAAGUCAGGGGAAACCCUGAUGGAAGACCGAAACAGUUCUGACGUGCAAAUCGAUUGUCAGAAUUGAGUAUAGGGGCGUAAGACUAAUCGAACCAUC
rnacentral:rRNA from 1 species